rnacentral:rRNA from 1 species
UGGGGAAUUUUGGACAAUGGGCGCAAGCCUGAUCCAGCCAUGCCGCGUGCGGGAAGAAGGCCUUCGGGUUGUAAACCGCUUUUGUCAGGGAAGAAAUCUUCUGAGUUAAUACCUCGGGAGGAUGACGGUACCUGAAGAAUAAGCACCGGCUAACUACGUGCCAGCAGCCGCGGUAAUACGUAGGGUGCAAGCGUUAAUCGGAAUUACUGGGCGUAAAGCGUGCGCAGGCGGUUUUGUAAGACAGAGGUGAAAUCCCCGGGCUCAACCUGGGAACUGCCUUUGUGACUGCAAGGCUUGAGUGCGGCAGAGGGGGAUGGAAUUCCGCGUGUAGCAGUGAAAUGCGUAGAUAUGCGGAGGAACACCGAUGGCGAAGGCAAUCCCCUGGGCCCGCACUGACGCUCAUGCACGAAAACGUGGGGAGCAAACAGGAUUAGAUACCCUGGGUAGUCCCACGCCCUAAAACGAUGUCAAACUGGUUGUUGGGAAGGUUCCUUCUCAGUAACGUAGCUAACGCGUGAAAGUUGACCGCCUGGGGAGUACGGCCGC